rnacentral:tRNA from 1 species
UCCCUGGUGGUCCAGUGGUUGGGACUCUGUGCUUCCACUGCAGGGGUACGGGUUGGACCCCUGGUUGGGGAA